GGCGGCCUUAGCGCGGUGGUCCCACCUGACCCCAUGCCGAACUCAGAAGUGAAACGCCGUAGCGCCGAUGGUAGUGUGGGGUUUCCCCAUGCGAGAGUAGGGAACUGCCAG
rnacentral:rRNA from 1 species